GGAAAGAUGGCUGAGCUGGUCUAAGGCGCACGACUGGAAAUCGUGUAGGCGUUAAUAGCGUCUCGAGGGUUCGAAUCCCUCUCUUUCCG
rnacentral:tRNA from 1 species